CUAUAAUUACAUCAUUAAAAGUCACUGCUAAAUAUAAAAACAAAGAAGACUAUUACUAGUUAUUUUGCAACCCUAGCGAAACCACAACACAACUUCAUGGACAUACUCGUGAUCGAAUGCUGAAGUAACCAGGACACCCAAUCACAAUGUCAACCAACAGAAAUAUACGAAAUCAUUCAUAUGGAGAGGCCAUCAGACAAUCUGACACAAGUCUGGGAAAUGGAAUGACAGAGACAUCAGGUGGCUUAUGAGUAAAACUUACUUUAUUAUUUUUCUGUUGUUUUUGGUUGCGGUCCUUAU
rnacentral:lncRNA from 1 species